GAUGAACGCUGGCGGCGUGCUUAACACAUGCAAGUCGAACGAUGAAGCCCAGCUUGCUGGGUGGAUUAGUGGCGAACGGGUGAGUAACACGUGAGUAACCUGCCCUUAACUCUGGGAUAAGCCUGGGAAACUGGGUCUAAUACCGGAUAGGAGCGUCCACCGCAUGGUGGGUGUUGGAAAGAUUUAUCGGUUUUGGAUGGACUCGCGGCCUAUCAGCUUGUUGGUGAGGUAAUGGCUCACCAAGGCGACGACGGGUAGCCGGCCUGAGAGGGUGACCGGCCAAACUGGGACUGAGACACGGCCCAGACUCCUACGGGAGGCAGCAGUGGGGAAUAUUGCACAAUGGGCGCAAGCCUGAUGCAGAGACGCCGCGUGAGGGAUGACGGCCUUCGGGUUGUAAACCUCUUUCAGUAGGGAAGAAGCGAAAGUGACGGUACCUGCAGAAGAAGCACCGGCUAACUACGUG
rnacentral:rRNA from 1 species